UGGCUCUCAGCUGGGAGCAGUCUGGCACUGCAUCCACUGAGGUGCCUGUUCUUGCUGUUCAGGGAAAAAAGAAAUAGGAAAGAUAAAGUUGCCAUAGUUACACCACUUGUCAUGAUGCUUAUCAUGUCCCCAGGAUAAAGAGCCCUGCAUUCAAUCUGGGCUCUUAUUAAUAUCAGGUGUUAAACAUUUCCAGGGUAUUUGAAAUCAAGACUUUCUGCUUAAAAAUUAAAUGUUGAUUGCAGCAAAAUUGGGCUGUUUAACAGCGCAGCUCGGAGUGUAAUUUUGUCAGACACCGUGUAACAGAGUCGUACACCAGGAAUACAUUUUCCAGUGAAUUGAGUCUCUCUGCACCUCAUGAGCAUUCUUGAUUUUCCCGUUAAGAUGUUUGUGACUUGCAAGCCUUUGCCAAGGAGUUGGAGCAGGCCAGCUGGCAGGAAGGGAGAGGAACUCCUGGGGCCCUGCUGCAAAAAAGAAGUACGUGAGCUACAACAACCUGGUGAUCUAGGCCCAGCUGCCGUGGGGGCCACCAGCCCACCCGCCUCGCUGAGCUCCCCGCACGGGGACCGGGCACGGGGCAGGCGACAGGAGCCCGGCUCCGGGCCGCUCCCGGCAUCUCCUCCAUCGCCGCCGGCUCCGCGUGGCGCUGGCCUGGCCGCGGCCUCGGCGCCGCCAUGGCCUUGGAGCCGCUGUGGCCUUGGGGCCUCCCCAGCCUUGGAGUCGCCGUGACCGUGGGGUCUCUCCAGCCUUGGGACUACCGUAGCCACAGGGCCACCAUGGCCUUGGAGCUGCUGUGGCCUUGGGGCCUGUCCAGCCUUGGAGCCACCAUGGCCUUGGGGCUGCUGUGGCCUUGGGGCCUGUCCAGCCUUGGGGCCACCAUGGCCUUGGGGCUGCUGUGGCCUUGGGACCAGCAUGGCCUAGGAGCCACCAUGGCCUUGGGGCUGCUCUAGCCUUGGGACCACCAUGGCCUUGGGACCACCAUGGCCUUGGAGCCACCAUGGCCUUGGGGCCACCAUGGCCUUGGAGCCACCAUGGCCUUGGAGCCACCAUGGCCUUGGGUCCACCAUGGCCUUGGGGCCACCAUGGCCUUGGAGCCACCAUGGCCUUGGGGCCACCAUGGCCCUGGGGCUGCCAUGGCCUUGGAGCCACCAUGGCCUUGGGACCACGCCUCAGGAGCGGCUCCCUGGGCCGGCUGCGCUCGGCUGCUCUGGACUCUAAGGGGCUAAUUCUGUCUUUCUAUGUACUUCCAGACUGCAAGUUUUUGAACUCUCUGUACAGUUUGUGAGGAUUUUUGCAUAUUGCCAUCCAUGUUGUUCCGAGGUCACUGUUUGUUUUUUGGAUGCACAGUUUCAUUGAGGCCCUGUGCUCUCGGCACCUCUCAAACCAACCGACAACCGAGGAUCUGAGACCUGUGUACAUGACUUGUAUUAUUAUUCUUGUAUCACUGCAAUCCAUAAUACCUUAUUUUUUUUAACUAAACAAACAAAAAAAGAAUCUAAAGACCAAAAACUGUGCUGGCGAAGUUUGUCCCCCCCCUUCACACCUCCGAUGGGCUGCAGAGGAAGCAGGAAAGAUUUUUGCUGAGUUUUAGUAGAGGUCUUGAUCUUUGGAAUGCAUGCCAGUAAUGUAUUUUAUGGUACAUGUUAAUAAUUUAUGUUCGAUAUUUGUAUUUGUGUUCUACUUUGUUCUUUUCUUUAAGGUAUAUGACUAUUUUGCAAUAAUUUCAAUGAUUCUUAGGAUAUUUGGAGGAAAGAAUAUGGCUUUUACAUGUCUUGAGGUUUUUCUUUGUUGAUGCCCCACCAUGAUUGACCAGUGUGAUAAGGACUUACAGAAGCAUGUAUGUUUUCUACUGUUUGUAAUAAGUAAUUUCGUUAAUCUUGCUGCUUAUGUGCCAAUUUAGUGAAACCAAUCUUUGCCGCAACCUCCUCCCUCCCUUUCCAUUCUCUGGAUCCUGUGAUAUUAUCCAAGAAUGUAUCAAUAAAGGAUUUUGGUUAACUUUUUUUUAUUUACUC
ensembl:lncRNA